AAACCCUGUCAUCAAAUAUGUUUGCCAAACACAAAAUAAACAACAUAAAAAGAAGCCACAGGGGGGAAAAGACUACCAUGCUUGCAACACACAGUCAAUUAAACUCAGAAGAGUACAGUGAUGAGCAUUUGAGGCAUGCUACCCACAUAUGCCUUGCUAUGAGCACACAGACUACAGUCAGCCCCGCUAGUUCUAUUAACAGGUUAGAACCAGACCAACCACCUCCAUCAAUCAUGCCAAACUCAGAACUGGAAGAACUACUUCCAGUUCCAACUGAGAAUGUCUUAGGACUCACAUAAACACUUCCUUCUUCUUUCAGAACUGGCGUCGACCCCCACUUUAAGAAACCAAUCAAUUCAAAGACUUUUCCCGCUUUUCAUAUUCCAAGAUCAAUCACUGAACAAUAAAAAUUAUGCAGUCAUUUCCCCUGCUAUUUCAGAAUUGAAAUGUAUUCUCUUGCGUCUGUAAGUUUAUGAAGUUCAUUUGCUUAU
rnacentral:lncRNA from 1 species